AGCUUUGCACAGUGGCAGUAAUCAUACCAAUGAAGUUAAUCUGAGGUGUGAUAUGCUAGUUGAAAUCCGCUUCUCUCCCCCUUCCUGGUGGUAGCAUGGUACAGUACUACUGUAGACAGCAGAAACUG
rnacentral:snRNA from 1 species